rnacentral:rRNA from 1 species
UACGUAGGGUGCGAGCGUUGUCCGGAAUUACUGGGCGUAAAGAGCUCGUAGGUGGUUUGUCGCGUUGUUCGUGAAAACUCACAACUCAAUUGUGGGCGUGCGGGCGAUACGGGCAGACUGGAGUACUGCAGGGGAGACUGGAAUUCCUGGUGUAGCGGUGGAAUGCGCAGAUAUCAGGAGGAACACCGGUGGCGAAGGCGGGUCUCUGGACAGUUCCUGACACUGAGACACGAAAGCCAGGGGAGCAAACGGG